UUCAUCCCUUGUCUCUUAAAGUCUUCAUAUGAGUGAGGUCAUGAUUUUUGUGUUUCUCUGACUAAUUUCACUUACCAUAAUAUCCUCCAGUUCCAUGCAUGUAACGGCAAAUGGCAAGAUUUCCUUUAAUUUGAUAAACACAGUCGUUUCUUCCUGGCGGGAGGUAAGAGGAUGUUCACAGGUCUCUCUCUGAAACCUAGCCAUCCAUUGAGGAAAUCCCAAGCGUCUGGAGGGAUCCGUGUGUAACGCGAUGAAGAAUAAAAACGUAGGAGGACGUCUGCCGCCAGGGCAAGUCGUCAGGCGUGCAGACCUUUUCAGGACUCCAGGACAUCCUCCCACACUUCACACGGCUUUGUGAAGAAAUCCGAAGGAGGCAAGGAGGAAGUGCAUUUGACUAACCAAAUAGCUCAACGGUUUUUCAGACAAAUUGAGAAAAUACAGAAAAUAAGUUUCCAAAGAUUUAUAGCUGCAUAAAGUUUUCUCUUCGUGCCAACAGAAAUCAUUGCUGCAACCUGCCAGCAUACAUCUCCUCAUGGCCUCCAGUCUUUGUUCCUUGUAAAUGAGGACUUUGCUACAAGCGAAAAAAUCUAUUACUGUGAGUUAAACACAUACACAAGCAAAAUCACACAUGCACACACACCCACGCACCCACCCACCCACACAAACACAAAAGGGCCACCUGAGUGACUAACCAGAUUAAGCGUCCAACUUUCGACUCAGGUCAUGAUCUCGAGGUUUGUGGGUUCGAGCCCUGAGUCCACCUCUGGGCUGGAAGCUGGAAGCCUGAAGACUGCUUCUGAUUCUGUGUCUCCCUCUCUCUCUGCUCCUCCCCUUCUCACAUCUUAACUCCCUCUCUCAAAAAUAAAUAGAUAUGAAAAUAUAUACAUAACCCAAAGAAAUCUCUGUGAAGGGACCGUGAUGCAGCUGGGAUACAAGCAGAGCACAGGGACCGCUGUCUGGAUUAGAGCAGUGUGGCUCGGGGAGCAAGGCAGAAACCAGCUGCAUUCCUCAUGAACGGUCACUGCGACUGCAGAGAGACCAAGACACCAAUUCAUCAAGCCACCGACUCCCCACCGACUCCCACAAAUGAUACACCAACCUCGACAGGCACUGCAUUGUUACGAAUUACAGAGUAGAGAAAUCAAGUCCUCUCUUCCCCUAGAAACCAGCCAGUGCCAAGCACGCACCGCUUACCUCUGUGAGCAACUCUGUCACACUCAAGAACCACAGGUCCCCCGAGCAUCCCAUCUACACAUCCAUCUGGUCAAGCAUGUCACCGAGGCCGGCCCAGGCUCAAGGGGAGGCCUUAGACUCCACCUCUCAAAGGGAGUUGGAGACAAGCAACUACCUCCCAUCGUGACUUUGAUGUCAUCAUAGGCCACGUUUCAGCAGGUCUAAGACGUCACCGCUUGUAGGAAGCAUCCUGAUGUCACACGAAUCAAAAUGUGAAAGCAAGGUCAAGAUGGAAUCGUGACGUGUAGACUUGCACAUUGAUUUGUGAUUGGAAACGUGUCUCCGCUGCCGGUGCAGCUCAAAGUUUGAACCCGGGCUACCUUACGUUCCAAAGUGAGGGCCAGGGAGCAGUCGUUCCAGGCUGAGACCAUCUAUCGCAUGGAGGGGAUCCCUAAACAACUACUAACGUUUUCUAUUCUAGAAACUUCUGCACAAAUGCCAAAGGAAGAUGUACAGUAAACCCUCAUGAAUCCAUCACCCAUCUUCCACCAGUAUCAACCCACAUGGUCUCUUAAUCAUUGAUGCUUACCCUGAUAUAACCCAGGGCGUAGAAUUCCCAGAGAGUGGGUGAGUUCACGUGUAAAUCCCGGGGCAUACGGUGACACCGUUUGCCCUUUCUGUUGUCCUCCUUGCAAUCCACGUGGCUGAGUGAUACAUAUCGCUUUAUUACCUAGAUGCCACUGGGUAAAUCUGAAGUGGAUGUGCCAGGGCUCACACUGAGCACACGUGAGUUAGCAGCUCAGAUCCCCUCAGCACCAGUGGAGAAAGGUUCUGUUCGCCUCCUCUAAGGACGGCUGGCCGGACGCACUGAAAACAAUCCAAGCAAGUGGGGCGGCAGCCACCAUUUGCGCAGGAGAGGCUGACCUACCCUCUAACUGCUGGAUGUGCUCUGGUGUGUGUGCCCCGAAACCCUGUGGGCGGCCACCAUGCCCAUGGCUCACAGCGGACGGAGGCCUUGGAGGCGGCACAGUGGGACACAGGCCUCCCUGCGCCUGGCCCUCACCACAGCCCAGCCUGGCUGGCAUCCUGGCGUCCAGACCUGAUGCUGCUUCCUCUCACGUGUGGGCAGGGUGGUUUCCUCUUGCAUCGCUGUCUCCCCCGCACGUCCUAGUGCCUUUCCAGACUGGUUCCUGUCUCAGGGGUCCCUGAAAGUGCCUUCUACCAAAGCAGAGAACACUCACCCUCACCAGGCACACGCACGCUCGUGGCUAGGAGAGGCCCAGCACACUCGAGUGAGAUCAACCGGCAGUAAUCCUGAUACAUGCCAGGGGUCCUCUUGACUAAUUUCCAUCUUCCACUUUCUGCCUGGACAGUCUAGGGCCUGUCGUGUGACCCAAGAGUCCUCUUCCCCGUGGGAGGGCUGGGCCCGUCCUCCCCACCCUGAUGCCUCCGGGGUAGGACCGGGCAGAGCAGGCCUUCUCCAGAAACAGGUGGACUGGGGAGGUGGUCCCGUCUAUGUCCAAAUCUCUGGAACCUGUGCAUGUGACUUUAUUUGGAAAAGCAGUCUUUGUAAGUGCAGCUACGUGGAGGACCUGGAGACCACCCUGGACUCCCUGGGGAGGGGGCUGGGAAGUACACGGAUGAAUGUUCUUAAAAGAGGAGUCAGGUAAGAUACAGCGAGAAGGGACAGGGCACGGGGGCCAGCAAGCACCGAAGCCGGGCAGGAUGGAGCCUCCCUGCUCCCGCUGAAAUCUGCCCACGCACCGGGUGGUGUGGACACAGCGCUGCCCUCAAGUCAGGACUGGGAAAGGUGCCGCAGGAAGACAAGGAGGAGAAUCAGCAGAAUCCACGCCACUUCUUCCCACCGAGGACUCAAGCGACAGGGGGGUAAGACAAAGCAGAACGUCAGAGAUGUUGAGAAACACCAUCAAGUGAAGCCACAUCAUCAGGAAGGAGGCAACAACUCUCUUGGGCGUGCGCCUGCUGCCCCUCUGCAGGGGCCAUGGGGACAGACCCCUCCCGGUACCGCGGAGCACCCACCUGGGAGGUGGCAGGACUCGGCCAGCAAAAGGCGAGGAGGAAAGUGUGAAGUCACAAUUACAUUCAGAACACUCGACGUGACACACAAGAAAGGACAUUAAGGGCAGCAGUGAGGAGGGUAGAGUGGCCUCAAGGAGGAGCGUGUAGCGGUAGCAGAGUCAAGGGUAUUCGGUGGGACCUGCCGGGUCUGUGCAAAGGCCUGCAAGCCCCGGAACAUUCAGUAUGGGGCGAGCACAGCCAAGGAUGGCUAACGCGUGUUCUCAGAGAGGCCACACCCCUCGGACAUCUGCUCGGUGCUUGGUCUGUUUCUCAACUGACAUUUCUUUUUUAAGCAUAAUUGGAUUCACCAAAUCAAGUUUUAAUAAACCGUGUGCAACCUAA